AGCUUAGGCGCAGCAGUGAGGAAUAUUGGUCAAUGGGCGGGAGCCUGAACCAGCCAAGUCGCGUGAGGGAAGACGGUCCUAUGGAUUGUAAACCUCUUUAGGCGGGGAGCAAUGCCGAGCACGUGUGCCCGGAGGGAGAGUACCCGCAGAAUAAGCAUCGGCUAACUCCGUGCCAGCAGCCGCGGUAAUACGGAGGAUGCGAGCGUUAUCCGGAUUUAUUGGGUUUAAAGGGUGCGUAGGCGGAUUUUUAAGUCAGCGGUAAAAUGUCCGGGCUCAACCCGGGCCGGCCGUUGAAACUGGGGAUU
rnacentral:rRNA from 1 species